CUGGAACUGUGCAGGUUCAGUGUACUGAUCUCUGCUCACCCUGUGGUUCUAGAUUGGCAGUUGGCCAGUCGCUGACAUUGCGCAGAGUGGCACCCGUUUUGGGAGUUCCUGAUGCACUUGUUCCACUCGAUAUGCCUAUCUGCCAACUUAACCUUUUUCCUGGAGAAACUACAGUAAUUUGGUUAUCAAUAGACGUCCCGAGUGAACAGACACCAGGGCAAUAUGAGGGAGAAAUCAUCAUUUCCGCCUCCAAAGCUGAAGCAGAA
rnacentral:misc_RNA from 1 species